rnacentral:rRNA from 1 species
AGCAGCCAUCAUUUAAAGAAAGCGUAAUAGCUCACUGGUCGAGUCGGCCUGCGCGGAAGAUGUAACGGGGCUAAACCAUGCACCGAAGCUGCGGCAGCGACGCUGAUGCGUUGUUGGGUAGGGGAGCGUUCUGUAAGCCUGUGAAGGUGUGCUGUGAGGCAUGCUGGAGGUAUCAGAAGUGCGAAUGCUGACAUAAGUAACGAUAAAGCGGGUGAAAAGCCCGCUCGCCGGAAGACCAAGGGUUCCUGUCCAACGUUAAUCGGGGCAGGGUGAGUCGACCCCUAAGGCGAGGCCGAAAGGCGUAGUCGAUGGGAAACAGGUUAAUAUUCCUGUACUUGGUGUUACUGCGAAGGGGGGACGGAGAAGGCUAUGUUGGCCGGGCGACGGUUGUCCCGGUUUAAGCGUGUAGGCUGGUUUUCCAGGCAAAUCCGGAAAAUCAAGGCUGAGGCGUGAUGACGAGGCACUACGGUGCUGAAGCAACAAAUGCCCUGCUUCCAGGAAAAGCCUCUAAGCAUCAGGUAACAUCAAAUCGUACCCCAAACCGACACAGGUGGUCAGGUAGAGAAUACCAAGGCGCUUGAGAGAACUCGGGUGAAGGAACUAGGCAAAAUGGUGCCGUAACUUCGGGAGAAGGCACGCUGAUAUGUAGGUGAAGUCCCUCGCGGAUGGAGCUGAAAUCAGUCGAAGAUACCAGCUGGCUGCAACUGUUUAUUAAAAACACAGCACUGUGCAAACACGAAAGUGGACGUAUACGGUGUGACGCCUGCCCGGUGCCGGAAGGUUAAUUGAUGGGGUUAGCGCAAGCGAAGCUCUUGAUCGAAGCCCCGGUAAACGGCGGCCGUAACUAUAACGGUCCUAAGGUAGCGAAAUUCCUUGUCGGGUAAGUUCCGACCUGCACGAAUGGCGUAAUGAUGGCCAGGCUGUCUCCACCCGAGACUCAGUGAAAUUGAACUCGCUGUGAAGAUGCAGUGUACCCGCGGCAAGACGGAAAGACCCCGUGAACCUUUACUAUAGCUUGACACUGAACAUUGAGCCUUGAUGUGUAGGAUAGGUGGGAGGCUUUGAAGUGUGGACGCCAGUCUGCAUGGAGCCGACCUUGAAAUACCACCCUUUAAUGUUUGAUGUUCUAACGUGGACCCGUGAUCCGGGUUGCGGACAGUGUCUGGUGGGUAGUUUGACUGGGGCGGUCUCCUCCUAAAGAGUAACGGAGGAGCACGAA